CACUGCUUCCAAGGGUGUGCCUUCCCUACAAUGUUUGGGCAUCCUCUGACCAUGGGAAGAAUAAGGAUGUGUGCUUGAGGACAGAAGUGUGGUGAACUGGGGAACAAAAGAGCAGCCCAGUGGUCAUGCCCAUCCAUGGGAUUUUCUAGUAUACUGCUGUGGACUGAACUGCAUCCCCCAAAUUCACAUGUUGAAGCCCUAAUCCCCAGUGUGCUGGUAACUGGAGAUAGUGCCUUUGGAAGGUGAGGACACAGGGAGAAAGAAGCUGUCUGCAGGCCAGUAAGAGGCCCUCACCAGAAACCAAACAUAGUGGGACCCUGAUCGCAGACAUCCAGCCUCCAGAACUGUUGCCAUGAGAACAUGUCCCAUGGAUCUGAUGAGGAACAGAGACACCUGGAGAAGACUUAGAUCCAAGCAGCACCUUAGAGUCGUCCAGAUGAGCCCCACCAAG